rnacentral:rRNA from 1 species
GAUGAACGCUGGCGGCGUGCCUAAUACAUGCAAGUCGAGCGAACGGACGAGAAGCUUGCUUCUCUGAUGUUAGCGGCGGACGGGUGAGUAACACGUGGAUAACCUACCUAUAAGACUGGGAUAACUUCGGGAAACCGUAGCUAAUACCGGAUAAUAUUUUGAACCGCAUGGUUCAAAAGUGAAAGACGGUCUUGCUGUCACUUAUAGAUGGAUCCGCGCUGCAUUAGCUAGUUGGUAAGGUAACGGCUUACCAAGGCAACGAUGCAUAGACGACCGGAGAGGGUGAUCGCCCACACUGGAACUGGGACACGGUCCAGACUACUACGGGAGGCAGCAGUAGGGAAUCUUCCGCAAUGGGCGAAAGCCUGACGGAGCAACGCCGCGUGAGUGAUGAAGGUCUUCGGAUCGUAAAACUCUGUUAUUAGGGAAGAACAUAUGUGUAAGUAACUGUGCAGAUCGUGACGGUACCUAAUCAGAAAGCCACGGCUAACUACGUG